rnacentral:rRNA from 1 species
UACGAAGGGGGCUAGCGUUGUUCGGAAUUACUGGGCGUAAAGCGCACGUAGGCGGAUUGUUAAGUCAGAGGUGAAAUCCCGGAGCUCAACUUCGGAACUGCCUUUGAUACUGGCAAUCUAGAGUCCGGAAGAGGUUAGUGGAAUUCCCAGUGUAGAGGUGAAAUUCGUAGAUAUUGGGAAGAACACCAGUGGCGAAGGCGGCUAACUGGUCCGGUACUGACGCUGAGGUGCGAAAGCGUGGGGAGCAAACGGG